UUAUGUCCAUAGCACAUUGAAACACCGGUUCUCGUACGAUCACCGAAGUUAAGGAACGUCGAACAUGAUCAGUGCGUAGAUGAGUGACCGUUUUGAAAUAGCAGGUGCUGUAAG